UUGCUUCAGCGGCACAGAGACUAAAAUUGAAAUGAUAUGGAGAAGACUAUUAGCAUGGUUCCUGCACAGGAUGGCACACAGAUUUGUGAAGCAUUCCAUUUAAAG